rnacentral:rRNA from 1 species
GACCUUGCGCUGUAUUGAGCGGCCGAUAUCAGAUUAACUAGUUGGUGAGGUAAAGGCUCACCAAGGCGACGAUCUGUAGCGGGUCUGAGAGGAUGAUCCGCCACACUGGAACUGAGACACGGUCCAGACUCCUACGGGAGGCAGCAGUGGGGAAUUUUGGACAAUGGGCGCAAGCCUGAUCCAGCCAUGCCGCGUGAGUGAAGAAGGCCUUCGGGUUGUAAAGCUCUUUCGGCCGGGAAGAAAUCGCACAGGUUAAUACCCUGUGUGCAUGACGGUACCGGAAUAAGAAGCACCGGCUAACUACGUG